GUGGGGAAUUUUGGACAAUGGGCGCAAGCCUGAUCCAGCAAUGCCGCGUGAGUGAAGAAGGCCUUCGGGUUGUAAAGCUCUUUUGUCAGGGAAGAAACGGCUGCGGCUAAUAUCUGCGGCUAAUGACGGUACCUGAAGAAUAAGCACCGGCUAACUACGUGCCAGCAGCCGCGGUAAUACGUAGGGUGCAAGCGUUAAUCGGAAUUACUGGGCGUAAAGCGUGCGCAGGCGGUUUUGUAAGUCUGACGUGAAAGCCCCGGGCUCAACCUGGGAAUUGCGUUGGAGACUGCAAGGCUUGAAUCUGGCAGAGGGGGGUAGAAUUCCACGUGUAGCAGUGAAAUGCGUAGAGAUGUGGAGGAACACCGAUGGCGAAGGCAGCCCCCUGGGUCAAGAUUGACGCUCAUGCACGAAAGCGUGGGGAGCAAACAGGAUUAGAAACCCUAGUAGUCC
rnacentral:rRNA from 1 species